rnacentral:tRNA from 1 species
GCAUAGCUCAGCUGGUUAGAGCGCUUGCUUGACAUGCAAGAGGUCGUUGGUUCAAGUCCAGCUGUUCU